rnacentral:rRNA from 1 species
CUGUUCAGAUAGCCAUGCAUGUCUAAGUAUAAGUAUUAUACAGCGAAACUGCGAAUGGCUCAUUGAAACAGUUAUAGUUUAUUCGAUAGUAAAAUUACAUGGAUAACCGUGGUAAAUCUAAGGCUAAUACAUGCGCAAAGGCCUGACACUGAAGGGCUGUAUUUAUUAGAUCUAAUCAAAAUUUUGAUGAAUCAUAGUAACUGAUCGGACCGUGCGUAAGCGCGGUAAAUCGUUCAAGUUUCUGCCCUAUCAGCUUUCGAUGGUAGUGUAUUGGACUACCAUGGCAGUCACGGGUAACGGAGAAUUAGGGUUCGGUUCCGGAGAGGGAGCCUGAGAAACGGCUACCACAUCUAAGGAAGGCAGCAGGCGCGUAAAUUACCCAAUCCCCGAUUCGGGGAGGUAGUGACAAGAAAAUAACAACUCGAGAGGAUUUCCCUCUACGAGAUUGCAAUGAGGGACAAUCCCAAAUCACUUAGCGAUAAAACAAUUGGAGGGCAAGU